GGGCGCAUAGCUCAGGUGGUUAGAGCGCACGCCUGAUAAGCGUGAGGUCGGUGGUUCGAGUCCACUU
rnacentral:tRNA from 1 species